GGGAGUGCGGUAACAAUGGUUGCUGCAUGUUUCCUGCCGUACAGCAAAAGCCGUCGCACUCCUUUAAGUCCAGGACGCCUCCAUUAAAGUUGUUGUUGAGUAUGUAGAGCUGGUGCCGUAUGUUGGGUCCUUCGGGCUGUACGUGCUUUCCCACCCCCGCUCUGUCGGUGGGGGAGAACCUGUGUACAGUUAUCCUGGUACAGCUGAGGACCGGGUGGUAGCGGGGUGCCCUUCAUCUGUAUGCGGUCUGUCUGCGUGUUGCUUCUUUGCAGCAGACCAUUUACAGGGACCGCUAUAUCUCAAAAAAGGAAUCUAAAGGGUGAUUUGAUCUUUGGGGCUUAAUGACCCUAAGGGGUUUUGUGUCGGAAAUGGAGGCAAACUGUCAAGCUGGUUAAGCUGACAGACUCAGGAGGGUCAGCACGCUUUGGGCUUGAAAUGUGUGUUGGUGUGAUACGGUAGCUGUCAACCACUUGUGCCAACACACCAGGCGACACCGCGACUAUCCAUAGCUGAUGACACGCGGUGGCCUGACCAGGCGGCUGGCUGAAUAUGGUUCCCUUUUCCACGCACCUUUGCGCGCCAACCUUUCGCACCUACGCGCUUCAUCUGGGGAAUCAGAGUUGGCGCACCUGUCUUUUGGUUUCAGCGACUUGGCAUUGGCGAGGUUUCGCGCGGAUGCCGUCCCGCUUCCUGCUCAGCAGGAAACUGCACUAGCAGACAUGUCGAAAGAGUAGUUAAGUGUC
rnacentral:lncRNA from 1 species